CAGCAGGUUUGGUCCUAGCCUCAGUGUUAAUUAUAACUAGACUUAUACAUGCAAGUUUCCGCAUUCCGGUGAAAACGCCCUAAUCAUACUCUAAUUUGAUUAGAUGUUGGUAUCAGGCACAUACAUUGUCAUAGCCCAUGACACCUCGCUUAGCCACACCCCCAAGGGACUUCAGCAGUAAUAGACAUUGAAACAUAAGCGCAAGCUUGAAUCAGUCACAGUUAAAAGAGUUGGUUAAUCUCGUGCCAGCCACCGCGGUUAUACGAGUGACUCACAUUAACACCUCACGGCGUAAAGGGUGAUUAAAAAUAAUCUAACUUAUACUAAAGUUAAGACCUCAUCAAGCUGUCAUACGCACCCAUGAGUGGAAAAUACAUUUACGAAAGUAACUUUACUUAAAUAGAACUUUUGACCUCACGACAGUUAAGACCCAAACUAGGAUUAGAUACCCUACUAUGCUUAACCCUAAACAUCAUUAAUAACCCUACCCUUUUUACCCGCCCGAGUACUACAAGCGCUAGCUUCAAACCCAAAGGACUUGGCGGUGCCCCAGACCCCCCUAGAGGAGCCUGUUCUAUAACCGAUAAUCCCCGUUAAACCUCACCACUUCUGGCCAUGUACCGCCUAUAUACCGCCGUCGUCAGCUCACCCCAUGAGGGAAUAAAAGUAAGCAAAACGGAACCUACCUCCAAUACGUCAGGUCGAGGUGUAGCGAAUGAAGUGGAAAGAAAUGGGCUACAUUUUCUAUUAAGAAAAAACGAACAGUACAAUGAAAAACUACUUAAAGGUGGAUUUAGCAGUAAGAAGACCUUAGAAUAUUACUCUGAAACUGGCCCUGAGGCGCGCACACACCGCCCGUCACUCUCCUCAACACAAAAAAUUACUACAUAAAUAAAUUCAAUUAACAAGAGGAGGCAAGUCGUAACAUGGUAAGUGUACUGGAAAGUGCACUUGGAAUAAC
rnacentral:ncRNA from 1 species